rnacentral:misc_RNA from 1 species
UUUUCCAGAGAGGAAAAUGAUCCAGCUGUGGUUCAACAAGUUGGAGCACAUGGACAAAACAAUGGAACAAAUGGUGAUUCGCAGCGAUUACAUGUGGUUCAUUCUUCUGAUGCUGCAAAGCCGCCGCAUCAGAGAACCGUUCAAUCAACUGCCGCCUCGUCAUGUGGUGCCUUUGAGGAAAUUCGUGCCCUUGAAUGUGUAUGAAGAAGUGCUGAUCUUGAAUGAGCCCCACAUGAUCUACGUGAAACGGAAAUCUUUAGACGACAUCCUCAAAGUGAAGAAAAAGAGGACCGCCACCACUUCCUGCUCCUCGCUGGAUCAGUUUGACUAAUCCGACCAAUCUAGUGCGCUAAAGCCUGUCCAUUUGGUGUAAAAAUAUAAAAUUCGAUGCGAAAAAAUCAAGGUUAAACUUGCAGAAUUUCUGCUGGGGUUUUUUCGGGUUUGGGUGUGGAAACAUGCGAUUUGGUCAGUUGAUUGAAAGCCGGCUUUAAGCACUGAACAUGCUGUGGGUGCAAACGACGUCGAUUUUGGCUCUCAUCUAUCUGGCCGAUUGCCAUGUGGCGAUUCGCCCGCGCGAGUUUCUAGUGGAUGCUAAGAAACAGUCAAAAACAGGAGGAACUGGAAUUUGGGAAUGUUUUCGUGAAUUAUUCCGGGCCCAACAAACUGCACUAGCUUGGCAAGUGAAAAGUGGUUUGAACCCCCCAAAACCAAACACUCAGUACAUUUCCGCUAAUAUUUUGCGACUGGAAUGAUGUAAAAUAAAGAGACUAUUUGCAAAAUUGCAGGAUUCAUCGGCAGAAACUGAACAGAG